rnacentral:misc_RNA from 1 species
GAUGAAGAACGUAGCGAAAUGCGAUAAGUAAUGUGAAUUGCAGAAUUCAGUGAAUCAUCGAAUCUUUGAACGCACAUUGCGCCCGCCAGUAUUCUGGCGGGCAUGCCUGUUCGAGCGUCAUUUCAACCCUCAGGCCCCCAGUGCCUGGCGUUGGGGAUCGGCGUGGGCUGGCAAUCCUCCGGGGUUGCCGCGCCUGCCGGCCCCGAAAUUCAGUGGCGGUCUCGCUGUAGUCCCCCUCUGGGUAGUAGCACAACUCGCAUUGGAGCUCGGCGGUGGCCAUGCCGUUAAACACCCCACUUCUGAAAGUUGACCUCGGAUCAGGUAGGAAUACCCGCUGAACUUAAGCAUAUCAAUAAGCGGAGGA